rnacentral:tRNA from 1 species
CGCUUGUCACCGCGGUUGCCGCGUUGCUGGCGCUGGCGCCGCUGGCGAAGGCGGAUCCUCUCACCGCCUAUGAUGUGCAGUUCAUCAACGCGCUA